CGCACAGAUUAAUACCGAUGCAGCAUUUUAACCGGGAAGUAUUCCAGGUAUCGUUAUUUAUAUUUUUACCACUGGGAAGGGAUUAGCAAUCAUCAAUAUUGAUUACAGAAUAGAAUAUGAGAUUGAGCAUCUAUCAUUGCAUGUAUAAUUGAGAACAUUUAUCUAACUCUUCAUACAAGGAUAAGUGUCACAUAAAAGAUAUAUGAAAUAAUGAAUAGUGACAAAGAUAAUUAGUCUGAUCUAGCCACAUAAUAAAUAUGAUAAGCACCUCAAUUAGAUACUCUAGAAAGUCAUUAGCAUGGAAUUAGAACGAACUAC
rnacentral:lncRNA from 1 species